AUCAGGCCUGGAAAUUGAGACAAUUUAAGGGGACGACCGACAGAUUACAAAAACUGAUUUACUGUAACUUUAAGUUACAUGCUGAGUUUUCCAAUUUUGUCUCUUUCUUAUUACCAAGAGAAACCUCUUUAGUGGAUUUAAUAAUUGAUUCGUUUGAAUUACUGUUAUACUGUGCAUUAAGUUAAUCAAACUGUAUUUGAAGAACAUUUGAGCUUUUGUUUAAGUGUCUAUGUGAAGUAGGUUGAAUGCUGCUGACAUUACUAUGAUCGAGAAUAUCUGUUAAGGUAAGAUCUGAACAGAUAACUAAUACAUCUUUUGAAAGUAGCAUUGAAUGUUGUAAUUAUCUGUACACACUGUUCUUAUUUAAAUUAUUUUCUAGUCUUCUGCUCCUGCCACUUUUCAAGCAUUGCAUUCAGAUUCCCAAGUGAUUGCUGUCUUGAAGGGGUUUGACUGGCCUUUGUAACAGCCAGAAAAAGUGAUUUUCCUCUAAUUUUGGGGAGGGAUUUCUGCUUUAGUCAACGGAGACAGCAAGGAGAAAGCGGAAAUGCACACAGCAAAGAACCUGCAAGGACCCAGCUCCAGCAGAAAGGUUCUUGUUUUAAGGCAGAAAGGAUAACAACACCUGUUCACAGUUCCAGUUG